UUAAAUCCCCUUUUUACAAUUUAGUCCCUCAACUAUACACUAUUCACUUCGGGCAGUUCGAAAUCUGAUAUCUUUCGCCGGAGCUCCCUGAAUAUCUGUUUGAGCUCAAAUUUGACAGUCAUGUUCCGUUUUACGUAAUGAGUCCAAAAAAAUUUUAAUAUUUCAGUUUCGACCAUAUUUGGUCACCGAAAGCUCCACCGAACUGUAAUCUUUAUCAGAUAGCUGUCGGAUAUUAUUUUUCACUUUUCGGGUGUCAGAAUGGUAUGAAACUUUAAAUCUAGUCUCACAAAAAUAAUUCUGACAUAUCCUCCAGUUUUCAUAAUUUUCUGACACUGUAUAUUUUCUGCUAAUUUAUCUGCCCCGUUUCUCACAGAAAAUUCUAAAUCUUCUGUUUUCGCUCCGAUUUCAGCACAGGUCAUUUCCAACCUAUAUUUUACUUCUCUAAAUCCAAUAAAAAUAGUAUAUCAUACUAUUUUUAUUUAUUUUUAUUUUUAUAUUUAAAAUCCGGUAUAUUACAUUCCACUGCAACCUCACCGGAACCAUUCAAAUGGCUUUCCAACCAAAUGUACACUGUAACUUCAUAAUUUUAGAAGUCCGGUACCUUACAUCCUCCGUUCCUUAAAAGAGUUUCAUCCUCGAAACUAACUCACUUCUAAUCCAACUCAUACCUCAACUCUACUUAUCAAAUAGUCGA
rnacentral:lncRNA from 1 species